rnacentral:rRNA from 1 species
AACGAACGCUGGCGGCAGGCCUAACACAUGCAAGUCGAGCGGGACCUUCGGGUCUAGCGGCGGACGGGUUAGUAACGCGUGGGAACGUGCCCAAAGGUACGGAAUAGCCUCGGGAAACUGAGAGUAAUACCGUAUGUGCCCCUCGGGGGAAAGAUUUAUCGCCUUUGGAUCGGCCCGCGUUGGAUUAGGUAGUUGGUGGGGUAAUGGCCUACCAAGCCGACGAUCCAUAGCUGGUUUGAGAGGAUGAUCAGCAACACUGGGACUGAGACACGGCCCAGACUCCUACGGGAGGCAGCAGUGGGGAAUCUUAGACAAUGGGGGAAACCCUGAUCUAGCCAUGCCGCGUGGACGAUGAAGGCCUUAGGGUUGUAAAGUCCUUUCAGCUGGGAAGAUAAUGACGGUACCAGCAGAAGAAGCCCCGGCUAACUCCGUG